GCCUUCUUGGAUCAAUUUUUAUUUUUUUGCUGGUCAGCAUAUAUUUUGCUGAUCAUCAUUAUUCGGCAUUAUUUUGGAGUUUAGUUUUCUUUCUGCAGAUGGUUAUUGGCGACAAGGGCUUGGGCCCCCUUAUCCUUCCUGUGAGGGUGGCUUUCCUCCCUGCCAGUGUCCUGGUACCGGCUUGUCGAUAACAGUUUGCUCUCCAUUUUCUGCUGCUGAUAACAGCCUGUUUUCCACAGCUUGAUCCUCCCAUUGUUUAUCUUGCCUUGUCCAGAGGAAACAUAUCCUUAUCAUUCAGGAUUCCUAUCUAAGCCUAAAGCUUGCUAAGAGAGAAAAGAAUAUAGUGAAAGCAUAUAAUAUAUAUUUAUCAGAAUAAUUGUGAAAAGCCAAUAUUUACAACAUGAAUUCACAACAGUUCCUCCUUUUAUCU